rnacentral:tRNA from 1 species
GCUUCCUUAGCUCAGUCGGUAGAGCGCAUCCAUGGUAAGGAUGAGGUCAGCGGUUCGAGUCCGCUAGGAAGCUCCA